AUCGCCUCCUGCCGGGAUUCCCCCGAGAUAACAUUGACGGAAUCCGGCGGAGACCGGUCGCCCGGCCACCCUUUAUCGGCGACCACAGCCGGAGGCAGUUGUGCAGAAACCCCACGAGAAGGCAUCGGACGGGGAAAGGAGGAUUGGGUGCCGGAAAAGAUGACCGGAAGCGGAUCCGUUGAGCGCUCCUUUAAGAACAAGGGUGCUGCGAAGACACA
rnacentral:lncRNA from 1 species